CCUACGGGAGGCAGCAGUGGGGAAUAUUGCACAAUGGGGGAAACCCUGAUGCAGCGACGCCGCGUGAGUGAAGAAGUAUUUCGGUAUGUAAAGCUCUAUCAGCAGGGAAGAAGAUAGACGGUACCUGCCUAAGAAGCCCCGGCUACCUACGUGCCAGCAGCGGCGGUAAUACGUGGGGGGCAAGCGUUAUCCGGAUUUACGGGGUGUAAAGGGAGCGUAGACGGCUGUGCAAGUCUGAAGUGAAAGCCCAGGGCUCAACCCUGGGACUGCUUUGGAAACUGUGUAGCUAGAGUGCUGGAGAGGCAAGUGGAAUUCCUAGUGUAGCGGUGAAAUGCGUAGAUAUUAGGAGGAACACCAGCGGCGAAGGCGGCUUGCUGGACAGUAACUGACGUUGAGGCUCGAAAGCGUGGGGAGCAAACAGGAUUAGAUACCCGUGUAGUC
rnacentral:rRNA from 1 species